UCCGCAGUCAACACAAAUCUCUCAUAUCUCUCUCUUACUCACUCAAACGAUCUCUCGUAGCCUCUCAAGUUUCAAUUCUCAAAAUUUACAGUUUUUAUUCUUCAAUAUUUUUCAUUUCUUCGCCGCGAAGUUGCUUAUUAGUCAAAGGCCGAUGCUGCGAAGGAGAUCUAGGCCGAUCUGGAAAGGGCUCUUGCUGUGUUUUGGAAGAAGAUGAUGUGAUGGGGUUUGAUAGUGGGGCAAAAACUAUAAAGGAUUGUUGUGAACUCACCUUUGGAUGGAUGAUGCUUCAAGGGCAAAUAUUAAUCAACAUCUUGAGAGUAACAUUACCAAGAAGAACAAAGAAUAUCAUGAUGUGUUUGAAUAGCACAAAUAGCUAAUAAAGGAGGCUUCAAAGGUUGGACGUAUUUUGUUGUUGUGGAUGAUGGGUUCCAAUCAAGACAAUAAUUACUUGAAGUUUGUUUUCUCCAACAAAAUGGGAAGCAAUAGAGUCCUCUUCAGAACUUAGGAUGGGCAUUCAGCUAUAUGCAGAUACUUCUCGUAAAUUGCAGCCUUCAAAAUUUUUAAGAAAUAAGGAAAGUUGUGAGUUACUGAAGAGGAAAGGUUUUAUCAAAGAAAGUUGUUUUAUUGAGCUUGAAAAGGGCGGGGAAUGCAUUGCUAUAAAAUGCGGUGGACUGCCACUUGCAGAAGUAGCCAUUGUUGGUGUCUUAAUCCAAUACACUAGCAACAACUGCUAUUGUAAGUGGUAGUCCAUUGCAUUUUAUAGCUAUAUGUUUAUGGCCUCUUUUAGUUCAAGAGGACAACUUCCCUUGAGAACAACCUUCUUCUAGUAGCUCCCAACUUUCAUCAUUUCUUUAAAAAUUUAAAGAGUGCGGCUUACAAGCGGAAUUUACAUAUAUAGCUACAUUCUCAUGCCUAGUUAUUAAGAGAUUCUACUCCCUCUCAUGUUUUUGUGAAAAGCAAUUUUCAAAUAUUUAUAGUCUUGUGGUCCACACAUCAUCCAGCACAAUGAAAUGCUUACCACCCUCUAAAAGUUCCUUUAUUUUAGUUGUUAAAUGCUCUUCAGGCAUAUCAUGGUACUUCAUUUUCUUCAUUACUUUCGCACUCUCAAGCAGCUCAACAUCAUGCCUGGAGUUUGCAUUCUCUGUUUGAACCAUUGUGCAAAAUAACCUUUUGGAGUCAAUGGGGGUAAUAUUUUCCUUAUUGGCAGAGAGGAAGAGAUAGUGUGGAACUUGGGGCUUUAUUGUAUGAAUUCAGUCUAUGAUCAUGUUGUUGAUUGUGAUCAAGAACUUGUUCCUUUCUGCACCCAGCAGCUGAGUCAACUCUUGUGUGACAGGUUUGUUCUUUCACUUAUUUGAAUUUCAUGAUUUCAUUAUGAUGUUUUGUAUAGUCCAGUGCUGUAGUAGACCUGAUACUUUGACCACAUUUUAGCAUGUUUAAACAAUUGGGUGGUGCUGUCAUUGUUAUUUCAAAGAAACUGGAAGAUAUUAACAAGCUUUGUAUAUUGAUUGCUAUGAGCAUUAAGCUCUCCCCUAAACAUGUUUGCGGUCACUUGUUCUAAGAGUUAACAUUCUAGUACAGCCAUUUUAGCAUUCCAAGAAUGUAGGUUAUUUUAAUGUUGGUUAACCCUCUGCGCAUUGCAUAUUUGCAUAUAUGUAAAAGUUCUAUUACAACAUGUUUGGUUCACGGGAUAGGUUGGGAAUGGAAUAACUCAUCUCUAUUUUUAUCUAAAGUAUAUCUUUUUCUGAAAAGGAAUUCAUCAGGGAAGCUUGAAGCUGCAGCGAUCAACACUUUUUUGGAAGGAAAAAAAUGUUGAUGACCACCAUGCAAAUUAUUUUCUUUGAUAUUGCUCGUACUUAAGCCUGUGAUGUAAAUGCUGCGUACUUGACAUAUUGCCAUUAUGAAUUCGGGUUUUAAUAGGAAAAAUUGUUGUCUUUAUUUCUUCU